AUGGCCAUGGCACUUCCCCUCAUGAUACUCACACUCCUCUUCUUGCUUCCAGUGACCAUGCUAGCUGAUCCUUUCCUCCAUAGAAAUAAUGGCACUGACCUAGCUGCGCUUCUAGCCUUCAAAGCAGAGUGCUCCGAUCCUCUUGGUAUUCUUGGUAGGAACUGGACCACUGGUACAUCAUUCUGCCACUGGGUUGGUGUCUCUUGCAGCCGUCGUCUGCGGCGCGUUACCGCUCUUGUGCUGCCAGGCAUACCGCUCCAAGGAGCGGUCUCCUCAUAUCUUGGUAACCUCUCUUUUCUCCAUGUCCUAAACCUCACCAACACAAAUCUCACAGGCAUCAUCCCUCCUGAUAUAGGUAAAUCGAGUCGUCUCGUUGUACUUGAUCUUAGCCUUAACGGAUUAUCAGGCAUUAUCCCUCAUACCAUAGGAAAUCUCACAAAGCUAAAAGUCCUUGUUCUAAGCCAAAAUGAUCUCUCUGGGACAAUACCAUAUGAUCUGCAAAACUUGAAUAAUCUUAGGAAUAUUGAUCUCGGGACAAACCAGUUAAGUGGUCUGAUACCACAACAGUUAUUCAACAACACACCUCAGUUAAUUGAUCUGAAUUUUGGAAACAACAGUCUUUCAGGGCCAAUACCACCCGGUAUUGCCUCCUGUGCCAUGCUUGAAACCCUUUUGUUGCAACGGAAUCAGCUAUCCGGUCCAGUACCUCCAACCAUAUUCAACAUGUCUAAACUACAACUUCUGAUCCUCGCCAGUAAUAGCUACUUAACAGGAUCCAUCCCUAGCAACAAAAGCUUUAAUCUGCCCAUGUUGCUCAAGUUCGGUAUGGGUGGCAACAACUUUCAAGGCCGUAUUCCAUUAGGACUCGCAUCAUGUAGAUAUCUUGAAGUAGUUUCCCUGUCCGUAAACUCUUUUGCGGACUUUGUCCCAGCAUGGUUUGCUAAACUGUCACAGCUCACUUGGAUUAAUUUAGGUGGAAAUGGCCUGGUUGGUUCAAUUCCGGGUGAGCUCAGUAAUCUCACUCUGCUAAAUGUGUUUGAUCUCUCAUAUUGCAAUCUAAGUGGAAGGAUCCCAGAUGAAUUAGGGGAAAUAAGUCACCUCACGCAUUUACAUUUGUCAUAUAAUGACUUAACAGGUUCAUUUCCUGCUUUUGUUGGUAACCUAUCUCAACUGUCUUUGCUGGCACUAGAGUCGAACUAUUUAACUGGAUUAGUCCCGGUAACCAUUGGGAACCUCAGAACCCUUAAUUUUCUGGAUAUUGAAAGCAAUCAGUUCAAAGGGACCCUUGAUUUCUUGUCCACUCUCUCCAACUAUAGACAACUCUUACUUACAUUGGAAUGUGUUCUUUCACUGGGAGCAUUCCUACUUACAUUGGAAACCUCUCUACAAAAUUAUAUUACUUUUUUGCAGACGCCAACCAUUUUACUGGCAUAA
rnacentral:rRNA from 1 species